AUUGAACGCUAGCGGGAUGCUUUACACAUGCAAGUCGAACGAGUGGCGGACGGGUGAGUAAUAUAUGGGAACGUGCCCAGUAGCGGGGGAUAACUUCUCGAACGAGUGGCUAAUACCGCAUAGCAUCGGUGCGGCCGAUAUCGGAUUAGCUAGUUGGUGGGGUAAAGGCUCACAAAGGCCACGACCCGGAGCUGGUUUGUGAGGACGACCAUCCACACUGGGACUGAGACACGGCCAAGACUCCUACGGGAGGAGGCAGUGGGGAAUUUUGGACAAUGGGGGAAACCCUGAUCCAGCCAUCCGGCGUGUAUGAGAAGGCCUUCGGGUUGUAAAGUACUUUGGGCAGAGAGGCGGUAUCUGCAGAAUAAGCACCGGCUAACUACGUGCCAGCAGCCGCGGUAAUAC
rnacentral:rRNA from 1 species